GUCAGUACUAAUUAUGGUGACUGGGCUCUAGUGUCCUUGGGAGAAAUACCCGUGGCUAGUCCUGGCACAUGAUCUCAGCCCAGAUAGCAUGGGCCCUCCAUUUCUCUGGCCACAGUCAUUGGUUCAUGGUGACAUGUGAGUGCAAGCAGGCCAGGGAGAGUCAAUGGCACACUUGGAACUGGAAAGAGAAUUAAAGCAGUGCAGCUGAGAGAUCAGUUUCCCAUGAUGCCUUUGGAGCCCCUGGAUCAAGCCAUACCUGAAAUUCUUGGUGUUUUAAAUUCCAUGAGCUCAGAUUUUCCCUUUUGUGUUCAAGAUCAUUUGAGUUCAGUUUCUUCUCUCAAGUGACUAAAAGCCCCAGGUUGUUUCUAAUAUUAGCACGAGGAGAAUGCAGACAGACUUUAAAAUGGGGACUUAAUUGAGUGGGUCUGAUGUGCAGUUCCACAGGACGCCAGGGACCUGUCAUCCCAACCUUUGGAUUUGUCCCCAGCUCUGGGCUGGGAAGACACCUAUAGGAUCUAGCAGCCAUCUUCUGUGUUUAGCAUGCAUGAGGCCCUGGACCAAUCCCCAGAGCUCCCCAAUCCACCCCCAAAAGAUGCCACAGCAAAGGAAGCUUCAUGAGACGUCUGAGGACUAAGACCUUGAGGUCUGUCCUGUCUGUCCCUGGGCAGGAAUCCAGCCAGGCCUCACUGCUCAACUCUCACUUUUCCAUGAAACCCUUCCCAUAUGGCCUCCUGUAGGAGAAUAUCUUGAGCCUCCCUGGAUCUUAAGACUCUGCUGUUCAUCUUUCUGUUACUGGGCUUGGCCUUCCUUCCCCAGACUAUGGGCUUCUCAAGGACUAGCCUCAUGGCCAGUGGCUGGCACUGUCUACCUGGCCUCCAGGUAGCCUCAACUGCCGCUGUCCCCUGUGGCUCCGUGGGAAAGACUCAGAAAGGGCUGUAUCUGGUCUGCUACCACCCGCCUGGCCGGAUCCUGGCCACCUGUGCCCCACCUGCCCUACCCAGGGCCUGGCAUGGGUCUGGCACCGGGGGACCCUCCACCAGGCCAGGUGUCAGCUGUGCCCGUGCCUGCCUGGCGUCCAUCCCCAUCCAGCCUGCAGGGCCUGGAGAAGUGGACAAGGGGAAACUCCG
rnacentral:lncRNA from 1 species